rnacentral:rRNA from 1 species
AUUGAACGCUGGCGGCAGGCCUAACACAUGCAAGUCGAACGAGUGGCGGACGGGUGAGUAAUGUCUGGGAAACUGCCCGAUGGAGGGGGAUAACUACUGGAAACGGUAGCUAAUACCGCAUACCAUCGGAUGUGCCCAGAUGGGAUUAGCUUGUAGGUGAGGUAACGGCUCACCUAGGCGACGAUCACUAGCUGGUCUGAGAGGAUGACCAGCCCACCCGUGACGGAGACACGGUCCAUACGCCGACGGUAGGCAGCAGUGGGGAAUAUUGCAAAAUGGGCGCAAGCCUGAUGCAGCCAUUCCGCGUGUAUGAAGAAGGCCUUCGGUUUGUAAAGGACUUUCAGCGGGGAGGCGUUACCCUCAGAAGAAGCACCGGCUAACUCCGUGCCAGCAGCCGCGGUAAUUC